GGCUCAGGACGAACGCUGGCGGCGUGCUUAACACAUGCAAGUCGAACGAGAGGACAAGAGAAGCUUGCUUCUUUUGGAAUCGAGUGGCAAACGGGUGAGUAACGCGUAAGCAACCUGCCCUUCAGAUGGGGACAACAGCUGGAAACGGCUGCUAAUACCGAAUACGUUCUUUUUGUCGCAUGGCAGAGGGAAGAAAGGGAGGCUCUUCGGAGCUUUCGCUGAAGGAGGGGCUUGCGUCUGAUUAGCUAGUUGGAGGGGUAACGGCCCACCAAGGCGACGAUCAGUAGCCGGUCUGAGAGGAUGAACGGCCACAUUGGGACUGAGACACGGCCCAGACUCCUACGGGAGGCAGCAGUGGGGAAUCUUCCGCAAUGGACGAAAGUCUGACGGAGCAACGCCGCGUGAACGAUGACGGCCUUCGGGUUGUAAAGUUCUGUUAUACGGGACGAAUGGCGUAGCGGUCAAUACCCGUUACGAGUGACGGUACCGUAAGAGAAAGCCACGGCUAACUACGUG
rnacentral:rRNA from 1 species